GGAGUUUCUGUUGUGGCUCAAUGGUAAUGAAUCUGGCUAGGAACCAUGAGGAUGUGGGUUCGAUCCCUGGCCUCGCUCAGUAGGUUAAGGAUCUGGCAUUGCCAUGAGCUGUAGUGUAGGUCACAGAUGUUGCUCGGAUCCUGUGUUGCUGUGGCUGUGGUAUAGGCCGACAGUUGUAGCUCAGAUUCCACCCCUAGCCUGGGAACAUCCAUAUGUCACAGGUGUGGCCCUAAAAAAUAAACCAAAAAAGAAUGUGUCUCGGUUACUUUUGGGCAACCUACCCUUGGCACAGUAAACUACAGGUGCUCAAUAAAUUUUGGAUGAAUGCAUGAGUGGAGCUCUGUGGCCAAACGGAAGGCCGCAGGGCCCAGUGAGUCUCUUUGCUGGCCCACAAAGGAAGAAAGGGCCUGUGUCCAGUCUUGUGGGAAAUCGCCAUGGCUCCCAUGUUGAAAGUUCUUUCCAAUGUUUCAGAGUGGAGACUUAGGCUUAAUCCUUCAGAUCCUGCUGGAAGGGAAGGCUCGCUUCUGGCCAUCAGAGAAGGCUUGAUACAAUUGCAGGACAACGGGCGAUUCUGCCCUCCCAGCUUGACUCUGUCUUAUACCUUCAAGCCACUGUGCCUGUGCUCAUGUUGCAUUUCAGUCUGAAACGUUCAUUCUGCCUUUCCCACUGGCAAACUCCAAUCCCACCCCAAGAUUCAGUUCCAUGGGCCCCUCCUUGUUGGAUCUUCUCUAACCCCCACUGGCUCCUCCUCUGUACCCUCUGCUACCCCUUGCACUAUAUGCAAGCAACACAGAGGCCUUGGCUAUCUGUUGAGCAAAUGUGUUCUUGUGUCUGUUGCACUCAUUAGACUGCAAAUCCCUAGCCUAGCCUCAGCCCUCAGUGAAUGCUUUUUGGAAGGAUUACUUGGAAGGACAGGACUGGCCUGCCCCUGCAGAGGGGCAGAGAGGCAGAAGGGCAGAGGGCUUCAUGCCUGACAGCACUUGACCCCAAAGCUCUGUGAUGGCAGCUGCCUGGAGUGGAGCUGAUGCUGCUCAGGGAACACAUGCCCUUGCUUUGCUGUGUGUAAUAAGUCAGAGAGUUGCCAGUAGAGGGAGAAGACGAGGAUCCUUUGGCUUGUUUCCUAACCAUUCUUUAUGAAAGGGAAAGUCAUCUUUGUUGCAUUUAUUUAGAGAAGGGGGUUAUAGGCACUUCAUCUGGUGUUCACUUCAGAGCAGCUGUUCAGUAUUACUGAGGAGGAAAGACGAGUGACUUGCACUCCUUGUUCCAAGCCAGAGAAUCCAAAUCAAUAGACACAAUGGCGUCUCUCGUGACAGACAGCGUUCCUGGAGCCGGCAAAUUUUCUCCCAAGUCCCGUAGGUCUAAAUUUCAAAACUUUUUUUUUCCUUUUUACCCGGAGGCCUCAUUUGGUCAACAGAUAUUUCCUGGUGCCAAUCCUGAGCCUGACUGAGGGCCGGGGUGGGGGUCUGGCACUCAAAGAUGCAUCAGACAGGAGCAGUUAUGUAGCGAUGGAUUUUCCACUGCAAGAGAGAAUGGAGGAGCAGAGGUUUGGUCACAAGCCACAGAUACCGAUUCUGGCUAGUUUAAGUGGUAGAGGUAUUUAUUGGUUGUGUGUAGAGACAGUUCCAAACUCAAGGGAAGGCUGGCAAACAAGAUUUGGAGAACUGGCUCUAGCCAAGGAAGGCUAGAUAAUGGGAUACACAGCUAAGAGCAGCCUCGGGAGAAGGUUUUCUGGUGAUUCUUCUGAGCCUUUGGCUGUCUUGAAUAUUUUCUCAAGUGUUCCUGAAUAUUUGCAUAUCUUUUUCUCAAGAUUCAAGGUUCUAAAUGGGAACAACAGAUUGGCCAAAUCCAGGUCAGUCACCUAUCCGAAUUCUACAUAAUAGAAAGCAAGGAUGGGAGCUGGGGUUUGGAUAUUCCAGGCAGUGGCAGUCAGGAGAGACCCUGAUCACAACCAGCACUUUUGCUGAGAUUUCUUCCUUUAAAAUUGGUCCUUUGGGAGUUCCCAUUGUGGCUCAGCAGGUUAAGGACCCACCAUUGUCUCUGAGGAUGCAGGUUCAAUCCCUGGCCUCAUUCAGUGGGUUAAGGAACCAAUGUUGCCACAAGCUGCAGUGUAGGUGUAGGUUUCAGAUGUGGCUCGGAUCUGGUGUGGCUGUGGCUGUGGUGUGGACUGGCAGCUGACUUGACCCCUAGUCAGGGAACUUCCAUAUGCCACAGGUGUGGCCAUAAAAAGAAACAAAUAAACUGGUCUUCUGGUUAUAGACAAGGGACACUCGGGAUCCUCAGAGGUAAGGGUAAUUUUCUAUUUCUUAAACUGCAGAUGAAUUUUAUUAGAACACUCUCCAACUUAGUACAAUGGGAUAAAUAAAUACAUCACUCUCAUGCGUCACUAGAAACCAAGUCCUGGAAAUAAGCGGUGGGAGAGUCAGUCUGAAAAUUCCAGAUUCUGGAUACAGAUACCUUUUAAAUGUAUUUGUGCUUUGAAUCUUUUAUUUUCCAAUGACUUCAUGUCAAAGUCAAUGUAAAGCUCCAGUGGUCAAGAUUAUCUGUUUUUCUGGGUCCUGUUACAGCAGAGUUUGCUCCAAUCUUACAAAGAAAUACUUUGACCUGCCAGUAACUGGAAGAAAUACAUUUCUACUCUCAAGAAAACUGAAGUCAGAUCUCUAUGGGUUUUCUAGCCAACUAAAAAAUUUUGGAGUUCAAAGAGACAGCGGUCCUGAGCUGUCUAGUCACAUCUUUCCUUAAAUUACAGCUGAACCACAGAGUUACUCUGCAGAGUAAAGAGGGAUUUCCAAGGUUUUCAUGGUGUUCUCAUAUCUCCUUCCUUCACAUGUGCUUGGUGUGACAGCCCCGGAAUAUGUAUAUCUGGUAAAUGUCAGAAGAAUUUUUGGUAUCACUCUUUGUUUUUUAUUAACUAUCAUCCAUUUUCUCUGGAUAACCCAAACUUACCAUUUGACCUGAGUAUGUUAUUAGAAUUCCAAUCGCUGCUACAAAUAUGCACUUAUUCAGCAUAUGACUUCUGAGUGCCUACCAAGCUCCAUAGUCAAGAGGAUGAGGACAAAUGAGAUCUGGCCCUUUCCUGGAGAGUAUGUGUUGCGGUGGAAAGUACAUCAGCGAAGGGUAACUAGAAUGCCGAGAGCCGAGAGCUCUGGGUGAGUUAAUUUCACGGUAACCCGGAAGUACAUGCCAGACAUGUCUUGUUCCAGCCUGGGAACGAGGCAGGCAGCCAGGGCUGGGGAAAUAAGAGUGUGGACAGAAAGGAAAGAAGCAUGGGAAAGAGCUUAGGGGCCAGAGCUGCGUGGAUCCCCAACUAUGGGGAUGUGAACGGGCAGUAAUGUGGAUAGGAAAAGCACAGGGAGAUCUGGGUUGGACUGCCUUGUGGACGGGUCCCUGUCACCAGUGUGAGAAACAGGAGGAUGAGCUAUUUAGGAAAGCAGGACAGGGGAGAGAGUGACUCCAGUUUCAGAAAUCUGUGUGUGUGUGCGUGUGCGUGUGUGUGUAAGAGAAGCUUUCUAGUUGAGAGCUUAAAUCCUUUGAGGGCUGGAAAAGAGAUUUCAGCCUCAAAAGUCAGCAGAGCAUGCACAAGCCACAAAUGGAUGAGUGCCUUUAGAGAGAGAGAGAGAGCAGGUCUAGUGAGAGGAAAAGUCAUCCCAGAACAGGACCAAAAGCACACCUCCUGCUAACAGAUGGGUCAGAGGAAACAUCCUUAAGGAAGACAGAGAAGGAACAGUCCCCAAAGGGGAGUCAGAACUUGCAGCCCCGUGGUAACGAUCUACUCACAGAAAGCGGUGGCUGUUUGAUUGCACUCAGAGCUCAUCGAAGCUCAGAUGGGGGUGAGAAAGGGGGAUGGAGAGAAAAUCAUCACGAAAGACCUGACUGCUGGCGACAUCUCAGCUGCCUGAGGCUGUGAUUUCAUUUAAGGAAAGCUAGAUCCUUGUUGGGAAUUUAAAAAGGAAAUCCUGGGGAACUAGACUAUCCUAGGAAAUGUUGAAAAGCUCUGACAUUUAAACUCAGGGAUGUAAAAGGCUGGACAUUAUGCAUGAGACUGUGCCUACAGACAGGAGAGAUACCCAGGAAAGGAGAAGUUGCUGUUCCAGUUUACAACAGAAAGUUCUGAGAUAUUCAAAGAAGCAAUAAAGUAUACCAUAUCCACAGGGGGGUUAAAAAAGGGUAACAAUGCAUAGAAAAUGUUCUUGAGGGGCAUGGAUUUUGCAUUUACUAUGUAAAGACUUUAAAUCAGUUAUUAAAAUAUAGUCAACUAACUAAAGGAAUGCAUGUCUAAAGAAUGAAAAGAGAAUAUAACAGUGAUAUUCCACUACAUAGAGGAUGUCAAAAAAAGAGAGAAGUUACAUGUAUUAAAAAAUUCUUAGAGUUCCUUUUGUGGCUCAGUGGUAACAAACCCGACUAGUAUCUAUGAGGACGCAGCUUCUCUCCCUGGCCACGCUCAGUGGGUUCAGGAUCUGGAGUUGCCAUGAGCUGUGGUGUAGGUCACAGAUGCGGCUCAGAUUCUGAGUUGCUAUGGCUGUGGUGUAGACCACCAGCUGCAGCUCCUAUUUGACCCCUAGCCUGGGAACUUCCAUAUACCGUGGG
rnacentral:lncRNA from 1 species